rnacentral:rRNA from 2 species
AAGGCGUCCGGCCAGAACGCGCCCGACGGUGAGAGGCGAAAGCUGGGGGAGCGAACCGGAUUAGAUACCCGGGUAGUCCCAGCUGUAAACGAUGCGGGCUAGGUGCUGGAGGGGCUACGGGCCCCUCCAGUGCCGCAGGGAAGCCGUUAAGCCCGCCGCCUGGGGAGUACGGCCGCAAGGCUGAAACUUAAAGGAAUUGGCGGGGGGGCACACAAGGGGUGAAGCCUGCGGUUCAAUUGGAGUCAACGCCCGGAACCUUACCAGGGGUGACAGCAGAAUGACGGUCAGGUUAAAGACCUUACCUGACGCGCUGAGAGGAGGUGCAUGGCCGUCGCCGGCUCGUGCCGUGAGGUGUCCUGUUAAGUCAGGAAACGAGCGAGAUCCCCACCACCAGUUGCCAUUCCGUCCCCUCUAGGGAUGGAAGGCGAACUGGUGGGACUGCCGCCGACAAGGCGGAGGAAGGAGGGGGUUACGGCAGGUCAGUAUGCCCCGAAACCCCUGGGCUACACGCGGGCUGCAAUGGUGGGGACAAUGGGAGCCGAACCCGAAAGGGGGAGGUAAUCCUCAAACCCCACCCCAGUUAUGAUUGAGGGUUGCAACUCACCCUCAUGAAUCUGGAAUCCCUAGUAACCGCGCGUCACCAUCGCGCGGUGAAUACGUCCCUGCCUCUUGCACACACCGCCCGUCA